CAAGUCGAACGGCAGCGCGGGGCAACCUGGCGGCGAGUGGCGAACGGGUGAGUAAUAUAUCGGAACGUACCCUGGAGUGGGGGAUAACGUAGCGAAAGUUACGCUAAUACCGCAUACGAUCUAAGGAUGAAAGUGGGGGAUCGCAAGACCUCAUGCUCCUGGAGCGGCCGAUAUCUGAUUAGCUAGUUGGUAGGGUAAAAGCCUACCAAGGCAUCGAUCAGUAGCUGGUCUGAGAGGACGACCAGCCACACUGGAACUGAGACACGGUCCAGACUCCUACGGGAGGCAGCAGUGGGGAAUUUUGGACAAUGGGCGCAAGCCUGAUCCAGCAAUGCCGCGUGAGUGAAGAAGGCCUUCGGGUUGUAAAGCUCUUUUGUCAGGGAAGAAACGAUACCUUCUAAUACAGGGUGUUAAUGACGGUACCUGAAGAAUAAGCACCGGCUAACUACGUGCCAGCAGCCGCGGUAAUACGUAGGGUGCAAGCGUUAAUCGGAAUUACUGGGCGUAAAGCGUGCGCAGGCGGUUUUGUAAGUCAGAUGUGAAAUCCCCGGGCUCAACCUGGGAAUUGCAUUUGAGACUGCACGGCUAGAGUGUGUCAGAGGGGGGUAGAAUUCCACGUGUAGCAGUGAAAUGCGUAGAUAUGUGGAGGAAUACCGAUGGCGAAGGCAGCCCCCUGGGAUAACACUGACGCUCAUGCACGAAAGCGUGGGGAGCAAACAGGAUUAGAUACCCUGGUAGUCCACGCCCUAAACGAUGUCUACUAGUUGUUGGUGGAGUAAAAUCCAUGAGUAACGCAGCUAACGCGUGAAGUAGACCGCCUGGGGAGUACGGUCGCAAGAUUAAAACUCAAAGGAAUUGACGGGGACCCGCACAAGCGGUGGAUGAUGUGGAUUAAUUCGAUGCAACGCGAAAAACCUUACCUACCCUUGACAUGGAUGGAAUCCCGAAGAGAUUUGGGAGUGCUCGAAAGAGAACCAUCACACAGGUGCUGCAUGGCUGUCGUCAGCUCGUGUCGUGAGAUGUUGGGUUAAGUCCCGCAACGAGCGCAACCCUUGUCAUUAGUUGCUACGAAAGGGCACUCUAAUGAGACUGCCGGUGACAAACCGGAGGAAGGUGGGGAUGACGUCAAGUCCUCAUGGCCCUUAUGGGUAGGGCUUCACACGUCAUACAAUGGUACAUACAGAGGGCCGCCAACCCGCGAGGGGGAGCUAAUCCCAGAAAGUGUAUCGUAGUCCGGAUUGGAGUCUGCAACUCGACUCCAUGAAGUUGGAAUCGCUAGUAAUCGCGGAUCAGCAUGUCGCGGUGAAUACGUUCCCGGGUCUUGUACACACCGCCCGUCACACCAUGGGAGCGGGUUUUACCAGAAGUGGGUAGCCUAACCGCAAGGAGGGCGCUCACCACGGUAGGAUUCGUGACUGGGGUGAAGUC
rnacentral:rRNA from 1 species